rnacentral:misc_RNA from 1 species
UUUAAAAUUUUCGGAACCUUAAAUAAAUUAUAAUUUCGAUAAAUGGCUUAAAUAAAUUAUAUUUCAUAAACUAUAUUCAAAACUAUGACAAAAAUUAAUUAAGGUAAAAUAGAGUGUGCCGGUACACCGUGUGACAUAUCUUACUCGGAUAUACUGUAGCCGUGUAAGGGGUGUCACAGCCUGAGUUCACUUCUUAUUCCUAAGAAAAACUAGACUUUACAUGUAUGUGGGCAGUUUUCCUUUUUGUCAUUCUCUCUUGUUAUGUGAUCCAUAAUCAUUCUAUAACAACAAAUUGUGUUCUAUCUGCUCUUCAAAGACAACAUGGAAGGUAGUUUCCCAGCUGAAAAUAAUAGUAUGUUUGACAGAAGGCCAAAAAGUUUUCACUUCCCAGUGGAAAAUACUAGUCUGUUUGAUGGAGUCAUAGGAAAGCGAAGUGGGAAGGGCAUAUGUUCUAAUUACAUUGUAUGACAUGGUCGAGAGAAAGUUUAUCUAAUAGCAUUUAACAAAGCUUCUUGAUUGCGAAGUCAACUAUAUUUAGAGAAUGAAUUUUGAAUCUGGUUAGCAAUGUCUUCAGUAUGCUUGUGAAAACUGUAUACCUAAAGAUGUUAUAAUUCAAAUUUUGGUCAUCUUAAUUUCUGGGUUUCUUUGAGCACCAGCUAUUUUCCCAUUGAAUGAUUUUACUCAUUGGAGAUUUUAGAAGUCUGAAAUUAUGAUUGAUGUCCUUAUGAAGGAAGCUAAUUGAUGAGUUGUAGCUUUUUCAGGCGAGCAAAAUCUUUAUACUGUUGUUAUUUGUUUGUGUAGCCUAAACUUAUAUUAGGACAAAAUUUCUAAUAUGAUAGCUCUCUCUUUAUACAUAUGUGCACAUUGCUAUUUUGGUUGAGACAACAACAUUCAAUUGCUAUUUACUUGUUCAUUGCAGAUGUGUUUUUAGUGCAAUAACCAAACUACUGCAAGUUCCACUGUUGGGAUUUUAUUUUCUGGUUAUAUUAUUUUCAGAUGUGAUGACUGUCCACUUCUUCUUCCU